CUGCCAUCAGCUAAGCUGAUAGGUUGCUUUCUUUGGGGAAGGUGCUGUGCAGUGGCUGCAAGCAGCAGCUUCCUUGGGGUGCACCAGCCUGUUGCUCCCAUAGAUUGCCCUAAGGGACCUUGGAGACAAGA
ensembl:snoRNA SNORA70 Small nucleolar RNA SNORA70